GAAAACUACAAACGCAAGUUUAAAAAUCAAAAGACCUGGCGGCGUUUUAGGUACCCUAGAGGAGCCUGUCCUAUAACCGAUAACCCCCGUUAAACCUUACCUUUUUUACAUUAGUUUAUAUACCGCCGUCAUAGUUCACCCUUCCAAAGGCUUCAUAGUGAACGAAAACGAUUAAACCCAAAACACCAGGUCGAGGUAUAGCUCACAAAAAGGGAAGAGAUGGGCUACAUUUCCUGCAAAGGGCCCCCGGACGAUACUUUGAAACAAGAAUAUUGAAGAAGGAUUUAGAAGUAAUUAAAAAAUAGAGAGUUUU
rnacentral:rRNA from 1 species